rnacentral:tRNA from 1 species
GGAAGCGUGGCAGAGCGGUCUAAUGCACUCGCCUUGAAAGCGAGCGUACCGAGAGGUACCGGGGGUUCGAAUCCCUCCGCUUCCGCCA